rnacentral:rRNA from 1 species
CAUAUAUAGACUGAGGUUAUAGGCCGGGGACGCCUCUGGAAAGGGUGGCUAAUACCGGGUAUGCCGAAAGGUGAAAGGUUAACUGCCUGGAGAUGAGCUCGCGUCUGAUUAGCUAGUUGGUGGUGUAAGGGACUACCAAGGCGACGAUCAGUAGCUGGUCUGAGAGGAUGAUCAACCACACUGGAACUGAAACACGGUCCAGACUCCUACGGGAGGCAGCAGUGGGGAAUUUUCCGCAAUGGGCGAAAGCCUGACGGAGCAAUACCGCGUGAGGGAGGAAGGCUCUUGGGUUGUAAACCUCUUUUCUCAGGGAAUAAGCAAGUGAAGGUACCUGAGGAAUCAGCAUCGGCUAACUCCGUGCCAACAGCCGCGGUAAUACGGAGGAUGCAAGCGUUAUCCGGAAUGAUUGGGCGUAAAGCGUCCGUAGGUGGCUGUGUGUGUCUAUUGUUAAAGAGUUUGGCUCAACCCAAUAAGGGCGGUAAAAAACUACACAGCUAGAGUGCGUUUCGGGGGCAAAAGGAAAUUCCUGGUGGUAGCGGUGAAAUGCGUAAAGAUCAGGAAAAAACACCGGGUGGCGAAAGCGCUCUGCUAGGUCGCAACUGACACUGAGGGGCGAAAGCUAGGGGAGCGAAUGGGAUUAUAUACCCCGGGGAUCAAUAUCCC